rnacentral:rRNA from 1 species
UGGGGAAUAUUGGACAAUGGGCGCAAGCCUGAUCCAGCCAUGCCGCGUGCAGGAUGACGGUCCUAUGGAUUGUAAACUGCUUUUGUACGGGAAGAAACAGUUCUACGUGUAGAACCUUGACGGUACUGUAAGAAUAAGGAUCGGCUAACUCCGUGCCAGCAGCCGCGGUAAUACGGAGGAUCCAAGCGUUAUCCGGAAUCAUUGGGUUUAAAGGGUCCGUAGGCGGUUAGAUAAGUCAGUGGUGAAAGCCCAUCGCUCAACGGUGGAACGGCCAUUGAUACUGUCUGACUUGAAUUAUUAGGAAGUAACUAGAAUAUGUAGUGUAGCGGUGAAAUGCUUAGAGAUUACAUGGAAUACCAAUUGCGAAGGCAGGUUACUACUAAUGGAUUGACGCUGAUGGACGAAAGCGUGGGUAGCGAACAGGAUUAGAUACCCCCGUAGUCCCUGAGCGGGCUGGCAAGGCGCAU